UAAAAAUACACUUUAUUUACAAGACAUUUAAACUUCAUUUUGAAAAAAAUAUAACUGUACAUAAAACUUUAAGUAAUCUUUCACUAAUAGUUAAUAAAACCACAGUGAGAUUUACAAUUCAGUAAUUCAGCAAUUCAGCAAUCAUGGAAAUUAAAUUUGGCACAUUAUUCAAAUCACAUAAGGAACAGAAAAACUGGAGGAAACUUUUAAGCAACACAACUCCAUAAAUGUAACAAUCUUUCUUACACAGUGACAUCCUCGUAUCAAGGUAUCACUAUUCAAAUAAACUAUUUAACAUAGAACGUGCUUCCACUUACAGCAGAGUAAGUGGUAGAACCUAUAGAAAUCUUCAUACGUUUUGAAUGAUCUUUUCAGAAACAUCUCUUUUACCUGCUUUCGAAUUAGUGAUUAGUGAACACUUUCCCCUAAGUUGUUAAUGAAUGACUACAGAACCCAAAACCCUACUUAUUUCAUUGUACUUUCUCAAGUUUAGAAACCAACCUUCUUGAAAAAGUUGGUUCAGGUGGACUGUUUAAUAAAGAAUGUAUAUAUAUAAAUAUAUAUAUUUACAUCUCUGGAUCACUACUAAGACAACACUUCUACACAGACUGCAGAACAUAAAACAGUCCUUGGAUUAGCUUACAUCAAGCCAUCCAUAGACCUUAGGUGGUGAACUUCACCUCAGGGAAAACUUGGCUGCUGGCAUAUUCCCUUCAAAGUUCAGAAUAAAAGGAAGCAUUCAGGACAGUAAGUGUUAUAAUCAGGUAGGGAAGGGGGAAAGAAUAGGAAGAACUAAACAAGGUCAAAAAGUGCUUUGCAAUGGUAAAGUGUAUCACACAGCAAAACCAGAAAGUGGGUGAAUUUGAAUAAAAUGGAGUGCAAAAAUUAAACCAGUGCAUAAAAGUAUUUGUAAACUGUAUUAUGGGUACAUCGCCCUGCCCAGAAAGCCACCAAAAUCAUACUGCUUUUAUUGAAGAGACAAAGAAUAUGAAAAAUAUUAGGAGGAAAAACACACAGUUGCAAAUAAGCAUUGCAAAGAACACAAGUUUUCAACUGAAAACCUGGGAAAACAAAGGCAAUAUUCCUAAAAAUUGCUCUUCUAUGUAAAGAAAAUAACUGAUGCUAAGGCAAGACUUGCAAUUUAGAGAGUGACAGAAGGAGGAAAAAUUAACAACUGAAUUGGCACGUAUGGCACAUAUGAAAAGGUAACCAAAAAUUGAUCCACUUUAAGAAAAGACCCACAAUUGAUGAAGACCAGUAAAGUGCUUUUGCAUUCAAUACCAUGUUAAUUCAUUCCAGAUUUCACUUUUGCUCCAAAACCAUCUAGCAAGGCUAGCAAAUGUUUCACUGUCGUACAAGUAGGUGAUUUGUAUGACUGGUUAUGGAUCAGAGGGACACAUAAGGUGGACAACUGGUUGAAAGCCACCUGUAUUUUAAACAAACAGAUUUCCUUUGCUAUAGAUAGUGAUGGACAGAUAGGGGCAACCACUGCCAGAGAACUUGAAUGCUGUAAUGAUGCAAUUCCAAAGGAGCACUUGAAGAGGACAGAGUAGCACAAUCAACCUGCAAUCAUCAGAAAUUUUACAUUACUGAACUGGGGGGAAAGGGGUGGAAGAAAUUAGGCUAAAAAGGCCAGACAAGAUUUCAUGACAGCGCAAUAUGCUACAAAACUGAAUCUAGAACAAGACCCAAAGAUAAUGGCAGAUACUUGAAAUAUAUUGUAUUUCGAAAUGAGGUAAGCCUACUUCAAGAGAAUUAGAAGAGAUAUGCCAAUAACUGAAGGGAAAUAAGUCAGUACAAAAUACACACUGAUUGGAAUGAAGUUUUCUACAGAUGUAGAGAGAGGCCAUUGAGCACAGCCAAGCUGUGGCAUGCUUCAAACAGACGAGAAAGAUACUUUAUUGUGGGACUCAAAGGAAGGAUACCAGGUCAGAAAUCUUAGCUGUAUACCCUGAAAGUACCUACAUAGAAAAAACAUGGCUCAUCUCAUCAAUAACACAGCUCUGUUGGUUUUGCUUGCUUAAGCAAUAAAGCAGAUUUUAAAUCUGCUUGUUUUCCAGCCCUGAAGAUUUCUAUAAUACCUGGUAUUUUCCUAUUUAUUCACAGGCAACAAUUACAGUACAUUCAACCAGACAGGAAAAAAAAAGUUUAAGAAUGUUACUUCAUUGUAUUUUUAGGUUACAACACUUUUAAAAGCUUAAAAAAAUAGAUAAACACAGUUAUAGCAAACAGUGGAAGGAUAAAGAAGAAAAUGGUCCAUUUCGUCAAAUGCCCCAACAUUACACAUACUUGUUUUCCCUAAUCCCAGAAUAAACAACACUGCCAUCUCAUCUUCAACCAUUUAAUAAUAUACACAUAUAAAAAUUACCUGAUUUAAGACAUAAAUGCAUAAUUAUGAAAGGGUGCUUAUUUUUAGAGGGUAUCUGGGAGGCGAGCUCUCCCCUAGACUUUGUUGUUAUUUUGGGAGCCUUUUAUUCCAGAUCACAAAAAAAAACCAACCUGUAAAUAUGUUUGUUAUUUACAUCUGAACCUCGACAUUUAAGCAUCAUCAUAGAUAAAAAUAAGGACAAAAAAACCAGAACUGUCUUACUUUAUGCCACACGCUUUUAAAAGACACAGCAAUUCUACAAAUGUUUCCUGAUUUACAUUAAUUUGUGCAAUAACUGCCAAGUAAGAUCCUGCUGCUUUUUCACCCCUGCUGCUGCCAACAGAAUCAGACUAGAGGAUCAAGCUUUUAAUUACACUAAUACACAGUUUAGUUUAUAUUAUAGAAACUUACAAUGGAAGGCUAUAAAAUAUAUUAAUUCACACAAGAAUCUGUUCAAAAGGGGCAACUACAAAUCUCAAAACAUGUUAUUCAAACUGGAAUCACUGCUUCAGUAAAUACCAUUUUCCAAGCAGCAAAAUAUCCUGCUGGGUGUUUUAAAAUUCAUUGACUUAAUGUAAUCAUCCUUAUUAAUAAGAAAUUGCCUGCUUUCAAGCCAGCCUUACAAGGAGGUCCUGGUGUUUUCCCAGC
ensembl:lncRNA